GGGCCAUAACUCAACAGUAGAAUAUCUGCUUUGCAUGCAGAAGCUCCUGGGUUCAAUCCCAGGCAUCUCCA